UGACAUCUUGUCUGGUCCCCAUGAUUUUG
rnacentral:piRNA from 1 species